ACGAACGCUGGCGGCGUGCCUAAUACAUGCAAGUCGAACGCACUCUCGUUUAGAUUGAAGGAGCUUGCUCCUGAUUGAUAAACAUUUGAGUGAGUGGCGGACGGGUGAGUAACACGUGGGUAACCUGCCCUAAAGUGGGGGAUAACAUUUGGAAACAGAUGCUAAUACCGCAUAAAACCUAACACCGCAUGGUGUAGGGUUGAAAGAUGGUUUCGGCUAUCACUUUAGGAUGGACCCGCGGUGCAUUAGUUAGUUGGUGAGGUAAAGGCUCACCAAGACCGUGAUGCAUAGCCGACCUGAGAGGGUAAUCGGCCACACUGGGACUGAGACACGGCCCAGACUCCUACGGGAGGCAGCAGUAGGGAAUCUUCCACAAUGGACGAAAGUCUGAUGGAGCAACGCCGCGUGAGUGAAGAAGGUUUUCGGAUCGUAAAACUCUGUUGUUGGAGAAGAAUGUAUCUGAUAGUAACUGAUCAGGUAGUGACGGUAUCCAACCAGAAAGCCACGGCUAACUACGUGCCAGCAGCCGCGGUAAUACGUAGGUGGCAAGCGUUGUCCGGAUUUAUUGGGCGUAAAGCGAGCGCAGGCGGUUUCUUAAGUCUGAUGUGAAAGCCUUCGGCUCAACC
rnacentral:rRNA from 1 species